GAGCAACCACAUAAUAGUUAAAACUUUCAACAACGGAUCUCUUGGUUCUGGCAUCGAUGAAGAACGCAGCGAAAUGCGAUAAGUAAUGUGAAUUGCAGAAUUCAGUGAAUCAUCGAAUCUUUGAACGCACAUUGCGCCCUCUGGUAUUCCGGGGGGCAUGCCUGUUCGAGCGUCAUUACAACCCUCAAGCGUUGCUUGGUAAUGGGUAUCGCCCCUGCGGCGCCCCCGAAAAAUAGUGGCGGUCCAGCGGGACUCCGAGCGUAGUAAGAUCUCAGUAUCCCGCUGCGGAUGUUUCCCGAUGGGCUUGCCAGUUAAACCUCGAAGUGCAAACUUCCACGAUUGACCUCGGAUCAGGUAGGGAUACCCGCUGAACUUAAGCAUAUCAAUAAGCGGAGGAAAAGAAACCAACAGGGAUUGCCUCAGUAACGGCGAGUGAAGCGGCAACAGCUCAAAUUUGAAAUCUGGCUCUUUCAGGGUCCGAGUUGUAAUUUGUAGAGGGUGUUUCGGGUGAAGUGCUGGCCUAAGUUCCUUGGAACAGGAUGUCAUAGAGGGUGAGAAUCCCGUAUGCGGCCGGUGACCGACCCCAUGUGAAACCCCUUCGACGAGUCG
rnacentral:rRNA from 1 species